ACAAUCUGCUACAUGACAGGAAUAAGGUUUUUGCGUAGGCGUUGUGCACAGUUAAAUAGAUAUUGUGUAUUCCCCCUAAGCAUCAAAUUUUAUUACUAGAACAACUUAAUGGCAC
rnacentral:precursor_RNA from 9 species